GCUUGGAGAGAGAGAGAGAAGAAAAACACCGGAGGGGAAAAAAGGUCAAACGAAAGACGGAGGCGAAUCGGAGACAGAAGGACGGGGGUCGGACAACUGGGAACGUAAAAUAAAAUGAUUCUAGCAUUUUAUUCCUCUAUUUAAAAGAAAAACGACGGCGUUUGCUGUGGGAGCCGGUGUUGGAGGGAAGGGAAGCGAGCCGAGCGGUUGAUUUACGCCGGGCCGGGCGGCAGCUGCAGGGUACAGGCCGUUUCUCCUGCAGGGCCCUUCGCCAGUGGCCCAGUGUGUUCAGAUGAGCGGCGGGGAUGGCUUUAACUGACAACCAUUUGGAGCAGUAGUGGGAUGCUGACUGAUCACUGGAGUGUUUCUACCAUUUUCAGAUUUUACUUUCGAUAAUUUAGCAAUUCACUGUAAAAAUUUUUGAAUGAGAUUACUGACUGGCUUGGGCUGUCAAAAUGUUCAUUGGACUAAUAUUUGUCCACUUACAAAUGUCUGACAAUUGUGUGAUUUGAGUAUUUUACACAUGCCCAUUUAAUUUGCCAUAAAUUUUCAAAGUGGAGAGUCCAUAAAUUUGUCUUUUUGGAGCUGGACUUGCCAUGUACUGCAAGCAGCAUCUUGAAUGUUUAUCUGUACCCUGUGUUGUCAUACACUAAUAAACAUUUUCUGAAAUGA